AGCGAACGCUGGCGGCAGGCUUAACACAUGCAAGUCGAGCGGGCACUUUCGGGUGUCCGCGGCGGACGGGUGAGUAACGCGUGGGAACGUGCCCUCUGGUUCGGAAUAACUCAGGGAAACUUGAGCUAAUACCGGAUACGCCCUUUUGGGGAAAGGCUUGCUGCCGGAGGAUCGGCCCGCGUCUGAUUAGCUAGUUGGUGAGGUAACGGCUCACCAAGGCGACGAUCAGUAGCUGGUCUGAGAGGAUGAUCAGUCACACUGGGACUGAGACACGGCCCAGACUCCUACGGGAGGCAGCAGUGGGGAAUAUUGGACAAUGGGCGCAAGCCUGAUCCAGCCAUGCCGCGUGAGUGAUGAAGGCCUUAGGGUUGUAAAGCUCUUUUAUCCGGGACGAUAAUGACGGUACCGGAGGAAUAAGCCCCGGCUAACUUCGUG
rnacentral:rRNA from 1 species